CCUACGGGUGGCAGCAGUGAGGAAUAUUGGUCAAUGGGCGGUAGCCUGAACCAGCCAAGUAGCGUGAAGGAUGAAUGCCCUAUGGGUUGUAAACCGCUUUUAUAUGGGGAUAAAAUGCUCCAUUUAUAGUGCUUUGCAUGUACCUUGUGAAUAAGGGUCGGCUAAUUCCGUGCCAGCAGCCGCGGUAAUACGGAGGAUCCGAGCGUUAUCCGGAUUUAUUGGGUUUAAAGGGAGCGUAGGCGGGUUGUUAAGUCAGUUGUGAAAGUUUGCGGCGCAACCGUAAAAUCGCAGUUGAUACUGGAAGCCUUGAGUACACUACAGGCAGGCGGAAUUCGUGGUGUAGCGGUGAAAUGCAUAGAUAUCACGAAGAACCCCGAUUGCGAAGGCAGCCUGCCGGAGUGCAACUGACGCUGAUGCUCGAAAGUGUGGGUAUCAAACAGGAUUAGAUACCCGAGUAGUC
rnacentral:rRNA from 1 species